AAUAGAUACCCUGGUAGUCCACGCCGUAAACGAUGAGUGCUAAGUGUUAGGGGGUUUCCGCCCCUUAGUGCUGCAGCUAACGCAUUAAGCACUCCGCCUGGGGAGUACGGUCGCAAGACUGAAACUCAAAGGAAUUGACGGGGGCCCGCACAAGCGGUGGAGCAUGUGGUUUAAUUCGAAGCAACGCGAAGAACCUUACCAGGUCUUGACAUCCCGCUGACCGCUAUGGAGACAUAGCUUUCCCUUCGGGGACAGCGGUGACAGGUGGUGCAUGGUUGUCGUCAGCUCGUGUCGUGAGAUGUUGGGUUAAGUCCCGCAACGAGCGCAACCCUUGUCCUUAGUUGCCAUCAUUCAGUUGGGCACUCUAAGGAGACUGCCGUACAAAUACGGAGGAAGGUGGGGAUGACGUCAAAUCAUCAUGCCCCUUAUGACCUGGGCUACACACGUGCUACAAUGGACGGUACAAACGGUUGCGAAGUCGCGAGACGGAGCCAAUCCGAGAAAGCCGUUCUCAGUUCGGAUUGCAGGCUG
rnacentral:rRNA from 1 species